CGUAGGGUGCAAGCGUUAAUCGGAAUUACUGGGCGUAAAGCGUGCGCAGGCGGUUUUAUAAGUCUGAUGUGAAAUCCCCGGGCUCAACCUGGGAACUGCAUUGGAGACUGUAAGGCUAGAGUGUGUCAGAGGGGGGUAGAAUUCCACGUGUAGCAGUGAAAUGCGUAGAUAUGUGGAGGAAUACCGAUGGCGAAGGCAGCCCCCUGGGAUAACACUGAUGCUCAUGCACGAAAGCGUGGGGAGCAAACAGGAUUAGAUACCCUGGUAGUCCACGCCCUAAACGAUGUCUACUAGUUGUCGGGUCUUAAUUGACUUGGUAACGCAGCUAACGCGUGAAGUAGACCGCCUGGGGAGUACGGUCGCAAGAUUA
rnacentral:rRNA from 1 species